GUAACGCUCUAACGUUAGAGCAGCUAACGGCUCUGCUCAGAAUUUCUCCCGACAGAGGCCGGAGUGUUCAAGAGCUUGGCGAUACAGAAAUUUCUGCUGGUGUUGGGGCGGGUGCGGGAACUGAAGACGGGCGAGUGCGAGCCGGGGGCGGGUGCUGGGGAAGGGUAAGCGGGAAGCGAGGGCGAGGGGUAGGGGCUGGGGAAGGGCGAGCGGGAGGCGCGGGCUCUCUCUAGCAGGGGGCUGCAGCCAUGAAGAGGCUCUUAGCUGCCGCUGGCAAGGGCGUGCGGGGCCCGGAGCCCCCGAACCCCUUCAGCGAACGGGUCUACACUGAGAAGGACUACGGGACCAUCUACUUCGGGGAUCUAGGGAAGAUCCAUACAGCUGCCUCCCGGGGCCAAGUCCAGAAGCUGGAGAAGAUGACAGUAGGGAAGAAGCCCGUCAACCUGAACAAAAGAGAUAUGAAGAAGAGGACUGCUCUACACUGGGCCUGUGUCAAUGGCCAUGCAGAAGUAGUAACAUUUCUGGUAGACAGAAAGUGCCAGCUUAAUGUCCUUGAUGGCGAAGGGAGGACACCUCUGAUGAAGGCUCUACAAUGCGAGAGGGAGGCUUGUGCAAAUAUUCUCAUAGAUGCUGGUGCUGAUCUAAAUUAUGUAGAUGUGUAUGGCAACACGGCUCUCCAUUAUGCCGUUUAUAGUGAGAAUUUGUUAAUGGUGGCAACACUGCUGUCCUAUGGUGCAGUCAUCGAGGUGCAAAACAAGGCUAGCCUCACACCCCUUUUACUGGCCAUACAGAAAAGAAGCAAGCAAACUGUGGAAUUUUUACUAACAAAAAAUGCAAAUGCAAACGCAUUUAAUGAGUCUAAAUGCACAGCCCUCAUGCUUGCCAUAUGUGAAGGCUCAUCAGAGAUAGUCGGCAUGCUUCUUCAGCAAAAUGUUGACGUCUUUGCUGAAGACAUACAUGGAAUAACUGCAGAACGUUAUGCUGCUGCUUGUGGAGUUAAUUACAUUCAUCAACAACUUUUGGAACAUAUACGAAAAUUACCUAAAAAUCCUCAAAAUACCAAUCCAGAAGGAACAUCUACAGGAACACCUGAUGAGGCUGCACCCUUGGCGGAAAGAACACCUGACACGGCUGAAAGCUUGCUGGAAAAAACACCUGACGAGGCUGCACGCUUGGUGGAGGGAACGUCUGCCAAAAUUCAAUGUCUGGGGAAAGCAACAUCUGGAAAGUUUGAACAGUCAACAGAAGAAACACCUAGGAAAAUUUUGAGGCCUACAAAAGAAACAUCUGAGAAAUUUUCAUGGCCAGCAAAAGAAAGAUCUAGGAAGAUCACAUGGGAGGAAAAAGAAACAUCUGUAAAGACUGAAUGCGUGGCAGGAGUAACACCUAAUAAAACUGAAGUUUUGGAAAAAGGAACAUCUAAUAUGAUUGCAUGUCCUACAAAAGAAACAUCUACAAAAGCAAGUACAAAUGUGGAUGUGAGUUCUGUAGAGCCUAUAUUCAGUCUUUUUGGCACACGGACUAUUGAAAAUUCACAGUGUACAAAAGUUGAGGAAGACUUUAAUCUUGCUACCAAGAUUAUCUCUAAGAGUGCUGCACAGAAUUAUACGUGUUUACCUGAUGCUACAUAUCAAAAAGAUAUCAAAACAAUAAAUCACAAAAUAGAAGAUCAGAUGUUCCCAUCAGAAUCCAAACGAGAGGAAGAUGAAGAAUAUUCUUGGGAUUCUGGGAGUCUCUUUGAGAGUUCUGCAAAGACUCAAGUGUGUAUACCUGAGUCUAUGUAUCAGAAAGUAAUGGAGAUAAAUAGAGAAGUAGAAGAGCUUCCUGAGAAGCCAUCUGCCUUCAAGCCUGCCGUUGAAAUGCAAAAGACUGUUCCAAAUAAAGCCUUUGAAUUGAAGAAUGAACAAACAUUGAGAGCAGCUCAGAUGUUCCCAUCAGAAUCCAAACAAAAGGACGAUGAAGAAAAUUCUUGGGAUUCUGAGAGUCCCUGUGAGACGGUUUCACAGAAGGAUGUGUAUUUACCCAAAGCUACACAUCAAAAAGAAUUCGAUACCUUAAGUGGAAAAUUAGAAGAGUCUCCUGUUAAAGAUGGUCUUCUGAAGCCUACCUGUGGAAGGAAAGUUUCUCUUCCAAAUAAAGCCUUAGAAUUAAAGGACAGAGAAACAUUCAAAGCAGAGUCUCCUGAUAAAGAUGGUCUUCUGAAGCCUACCUGUGGAAGGAAAGUUUCUCUUCCAAAUAAAGCCUUAGAAUUAAAGGACAGAGAAACACUCAAAGCAGAGUCUCCUGAUAAUGAUGGUCUUCUGAAGCCUACCUGUGGAAGGAAAGUUUCUCUUCCAAAUAAAGCUUUAGAAUUGAAGGACAGAGAAACAUUCAAAGCAGCUCAGAUGUUCCCAUCAGAAUCCAAACAAAAGGAUGAUGAAGAAAAUUCUUGGGAUUUUGAGAGUUUCCUUGAGACUCUCUUACAGAAUGAUGUGUGUUUACCCAAGGCUACACAUCAAAAAGAAUUCGAUACCUUAAGUGGAAAAUUAGAAGAGUCUCCUGAUAAAGAUGGUCUUCUGAAGCCUACCUGUGGAAGGAAAGUUUCUCUUCCAAAUAAAGCCUUAGAAUUAAAGGACAGAGAAACACUCAAAGCAGAGUCUCCUGAUAAAGAUGGUCUUCUGAAGCCUACCUGUGUAAGGAAAGUUUCUCUUCCAAAUAAAGCCUUAGAAUUAAAGGACAGAGAAACAUUAAAAGCAGCUCAGAUGUUCCCAUCAGAAUCCAAACAAAAGGAUGAUGAAGAAAAUUCUUGGGAUUUUGAGAGUUUCCUUGAGGCUCUCUUACAGAAUGAUGGGUGUUUACCCAAGGCUACACAUCAAAAAGAAUUCGAUACCUUAAGUGGAAAAUUAGAAGAGUCUCCUGAUAAAGAUGGUCUUCUGAAGCCUACCUGUGGAAUGAAAAUUUCUCUUCCAAAUAAAGCCUUAGAAUUGAAGGACAGAGAAACAUUCAAAGCAGAGGAUGUGAGUUCUGUAGAGUCCACAUUCAGUCUUUUUGGCAAACCGACUACUGAAAAUUCACAGUCUACAAAAGUUGAGGAAGACUUUAAUCUUACUACCAAGGAGGGAGCAACAAAGACAGUAACUGGACAACAGGAACGUGAUAUUGGCAUUAUUGAACGAGCUCCACAAGAUCAAACAAAUAAGAUGCCCACAUCAGAAUUAGGAAGAAAAGAAGAUACAAAAUCAACUUCAGAUUCUGAGAUUAUCUCUGUGAGUGAUACACAGAAUUAUGAGUGUUUACCUGAGGCUACAUAUCAAAAAGAAAUAAAGACAACAAAUGGCAAAAUAGAAGAGUCUCCUGAAAAGCCUUCUCACUUUGAGCCUGCCACUGAAAUGCAAAACUCUGUUCCAAAUAAAGGCUUAGAAUGGAAGAAUAAACAAACAUUGAGAGCAGAUUCAACUACCCUAUCAAAAAUCUUGGAUGCACUUCCUUCUUGUGAAAGAGGAAGGGAACUUAAAAAAGAUAACUGUGAACAAAUUACAGCAAAAAUGGAACAAACGAAAAAUAAGUUUUGUGUACUACAAAAGGAACUGUCAGAAGCGAAAGAAAUAAAAUCACAGUUAGAGAACCAAAAAGCUAAAUGGGAACAAGAGCUCUGCAGUGUGAGAUUGACUUUAAAUCAAGAAGAAGAGAAGAGAAGAAAUGUCGAUAUAUUAAAAGAAAAAAUUAGACCCGAAGAGCAACUUAGGAAAAAGUUAGAAGUGAAACAACAACUUGAACAGACUCUCAGAAUACAAGAUAUAGAAUUGAAAAGUGUAACAAGUAAUUUGAAUCAGGUUUCUCACACUCAUGAAAGUGAAAAUGAUCUCUUUCAUGAAAAUUGCAUGUUGAAAAAGGAAAUUGCCAUGCUAAAACUGGAAGUAGCCACACUGAAACAUCAACACCAGGUGAAGGAAAAUAAAUACUUUGAGGACAUUAAGAUUUUACAAGAAAAGAAUGCUGAACUUCAAAUGACCCUAAAACUGAAACAGAAAACAGUAACAAAAAGGGCAUCUCAGUAUAGAGAGCAGCUUAAAGUUCUGACGGCAGAGAACACGAUGCUGACUUCUAAAUUGAAGGAAAAACAAGACAAAGAAAUACUGGAGACAGAAAUUGAAUCACACCAUCCUAGACUGGCUUCUGCUUUACAAGACCAUGAUCAAAGUGUCACAUCAAGAAAAAACCAAGAACUUGCUUUCCACAGUGCAGGAGAUGCUCCUUUGCAAGGAAUAAUGAAUGUUGAUGUGAGUAAUACAAUAUAUAACAAUGAGGUGCUCCAUCAACCACUUUAUGAAGCUCAAAGGAAAUCCAAAAGCCCAAAAAUUAAUCUCAAUUAUGCAGGAGAUGAUCUAAGAGAAAAUGCAUUGGUUUCAGAACAUGCACAAAGAGACCGAUGUGAAACACAGUGUCAAAUGAAGAAAGCUGAACACAUGUAUCAAAAUGAACAAGAUAAUGUGGACAAACACACUGAACAGCAGGAGUCUCUGGAGCAGAAAUUAUUUCAACUAGAAAGCAAAAAUAGGUGGCUUCGACAGCAAUUAGUUUAUGCACAUAAGAAAGUUAACAAAAGCAAGGUAACAAUUAAUAUUCAGUUUCCUGAGAUGAAAAUGCAACGUCAUCUAAACGAGAAAAAUGAGGAGGUAUUCAAUUAUGGUAACCAUUUAAAAGAACGUAUAGAUCAAUAUGAAAAAGAGAAAGCAGAAAGAGAAGUCAUUGUGAGACAACUUCAAAAAAAAUUGGCGGAUCUUAAUAAACAGUGUGAGGCUUCACUAAAGGUUACAUCACAUUCUCACUCUCUGAGGCAUCAAUAGAGGCUACAUCACAUUAUCACAUUAAUCUCAAAGAUUAAACAGUAAAGUUUAUUGUGAACAUUUGCUUCUUUUUCCAUUUUAAAGUUAAACAAGAAGAAAAGCUGUUGGGUACACCUGCAGAAAGGCUGUCACUUCACACUUGGAAGAUUGCACAACGGCCAGGCAGAGGUGCUCCUUACUUCCCAGAUGGGGCGGCUGGGCAGAGGCGCUCCUCACUUCCCAGAUGGGGCAACCAGGCAAGAGGUUUUUCUGGCAUUGUCUGCCCAGCUGCUCCAAGCCAGGCUGAUGAAGGAGGUGUCCCCUGUGGUGAGCUGGAGGUUGGAGCCUGAAUAUGGCACAGCUCUGUGAUUCAUCUCCUAUGGUUGUGGCAGCCAUGGUGAUGGAGACGGCAGCUCAACAGGAGCGGGUCUGCUGUCAUGUGAUGCUAUACCAGAGUCAAGCUGGAAUUUGGCAUCUUAGUGCCAAAGGGUCUGUUUCAUCCAUGAAGGGAUGUCUAUUUUAAUGUUAAUGCUGGGUAAUGAGGAAAAUGAGGCAGCCAGAUGGAGUCCCAGCAAAAGCAGACUUCAGGCAGAAGGAACGGCAAGUCCAGGGCUCUGGAUGAGAGAAGAUCAACAACAGGAGACAGAGGGACCCCUCUAGAGGCAGGAGGAAAGAUAAAUGGCCACAGGCUGCUGUCAUCUAGGCCAGGGUUCUGGCAGCAAUGAAAACACGUCUGCAGGAGGAGAAAGAAGUGCUUUUGAAUCCAUCUUACUCAUCGUCUGUCUCUUGUCUCUUCAAAGUGAAUGCAGUUGGAAGGAAAGGGACAGGUUGGUUCUGUGCUUUGCCCAAGUAGGUCCAAAUUCUGUUUUUUUUCAGGAUGUAGCAGGGUGAGCUGUUCUGACAAACUUGAUCUUAGCACAACAGGGGCAGUAAGGUCAUCAUCCCCACCAGUCCUUUGCCCUAGGAUUACAGGACCUGCCCCCAGAGGGACAGGAGCUCAUCCUACACUGUCCCAGUGUUUCUGUGAAACACCUUAGCUCCCUGGCUGAUUCCCCAGUGGCUCAGGGGCCCAGGGAGCCUCCUCACACCCAAGGUCCCUGUCCCCAGGUGUGGGGGAUCCCUAUGUAUGACAUUGUGGGUGACUGGGACUCCUCACUGAACAGGAUCAGUAAAGGGCCUGCCUGGCUCUAGGCACUCAUUCAGCUGCACUGGAAUUUGGAGAAAGAGGCUGCAGAAUACACCCCUAGCCCUAAUUAGGAAAGAAACAGAGUGGUCUUGAGUCAACUCCUGAAAGCUGUGUGUGCCCUGGAUCAAUGGCCCACGGGACAUGUAGAACAGAGGCAGGAAGUCCCACUGUAAAUGGCAGACUUCAGUUUCCAGGACUUAGAUUCCACUGGGAAGCAGCUGUCCAAUUCACAAAAUUGUCAGUGAUCAAAAUAAAUAUAAUAAAGUAGUUCAUUUUAAGCAAUGCAAAGAAAGCUGAGUGGCAGAUAAAGCUAAAGAUGAGCUCCAGAUGCCACCAGGCAUAGCACGUGGAGGGACUGCAUACCCGCGUCCAGCGUAACUUACAACUCCUGGAAUGCUGGGACUGUGCAGUGUUAAUUCUAAUGGCCCAUGGAGGCAUAAUUAAUUAACCUUUCAGUUACUCUGGGCACUGCCCUUAUCCAAACAUAAAUAUGUGUAUGCCGGGAAAAUUUUGCAAUAUAGAAAGCCGACAUCGUUGACUCCUUAUUCAUAGGCAAAUCCAGUGCUUUUCAAUUUUGACUGUGCAGCAGAAUCACCGAUGGAUUUUAUUUUUAAAAUAGGGGUACGUAUGUCUCAUCUCACCCAGGGUGAGGUCCAUGGAUCUAAUGUUAUGAAGCCCACAGUGGGUCCCAAAUCCCAGCUGAGCUCCAGGACUAGGAAUGUCACCCAGCCUCCCUGCUGUAGAGCUGCACCAUGGCUUUCGUUCUUCCCGUGGUGGAAACAAAGCUUGCCUAGAGUUUCUGGAUGCAGCAUCUCUCCGAAAACAAGCUGGGGCUCUGCCGCCCUCACUGGAGCACAGCCAGUGCUGUGGAGCCCCCAGAGUGGCCACAGGGAUAGAGGGGACUUAAAACUGAGUAGGGGGCAACAGAGUUGGGGGUCUAUCCACCACAUGUGGACACACAGCAAGUCAGGCAUGUGGGAAGGAGGGAACAGCAGCGUGGAAUGGAAAUGGCAAAUGUUCAUCCAGCCAGGUGUUAUUUUAUUUAUGGCUUCUGGGGAAAUGGGAUGAACAAUUUCAGAACAGCCUUGGGUUGAACUUGAUGCUGCAAAUGGAACUUAAUUGCUCAAAUAAUGUCAUAUCAAUUUCAUAUAAAUGAUAAAGAAGGAAAGUCCCUCUUUCUAGAGAGAAAACUCUCCUGACGGCAUCAGGCUGUCCUGGGAAGUCACUGCUUCCCUUUUCUGUUGUGGGGCAUAACGGGAGAUGAAGCUGGGAAUUGACAAUCUCUUUUUUCUGCUGGACUGAAACCUCCUGGAGCAGAAAAAUAGUUUUUUAUUUUGCAAAUGAAAGUCAAAGAUGUGGCAGGAGUUGAGGGUGGGCAUUGCAAGAGCUAAAUCCGGUGCUUCUGACAGCCCAGCCCUAGUGAGAGGCCCCUUCUGAGAGUCCCAGGGACUCUUAUGUAAAUGAAACUCAAAUAGAGCUCCCCACAGCACCUGAGCUUAGGGUCACCAGGCUCUGGGACUCUGUAUGUGCUCCCAGGAGAUUCCAUCCCCAGGAUAACACUGCAGGUCAAUUUGUGCUUUUCCUACCAUGCAAACCAUACUCUGGUAACUGUGCAGGAUUCUAAGAAAUAAACUUAUUGAACCAAA